UAACAAAGUAAAAGUUACUGGUUGACCAAGAGGAAGGUAAAAAUGACAUCAAGGAUCUCAAAAGGUCAUAUCAGGUGCCAGUCACCACAUUUAGGCACUCAAAAGUCAAACAUUAAAUAAAAGCAUAGGCCAGUGAUUGAUUUUUCUCCUAGAUGUCCCUCUCUAUUUGUGCCAUACAAGACAUAAGAGAAGUGAGAGAAGAAGUAAGUUAUGAGAUUUCUUUGAAAAACUACACACAAAGUAAGCUAUAGAUUCACUUUACAGGCAAUAAUG